rnacentral:lncRNA from 1 species
AUUAUAAUUAGAUUUUAAGGAGAUUAACACAUGAUAGCUGCACUUUGAACUAUGUUAGCCAGUAGUAAUGUUUCAGCCAUGGAAAUGUUCUGUGCUAAUAUUAGAAUCCAGAGAAGCUGUAGUUUUUCAUAGCCAUUUCAGUGACAUUUGCUUGGAAGCAUGCUGUACUUCUUACAAAUUUUUUCUUUCUCUCUUUUUUUCUACAGUCCUAUUUUAUCCAGACAAAAGAUAGCUAUAGAAAAGUCUGUGGAAAGAAAAUGUUUUACUCAGUUAAGAGUGUCUGAAGAAUCAAAGACAAAAGGAGCUACAUCCAAAGAGCCGGUUUCUGUUGCUGACCUUUAUGUUCCUGGGCCUGAGAGCCCUGAUAUUGAAGAGGAAGUAUCAGGUGGUUUAGAGAGUGGAACUUAUCUUGGCCUGGAACCAAGUAUAGAAAGCCAGCAUAAAGAGGAGCCCCAGGAGAGCAGUGCCGGCUGCAGUCGAAUGGACAGGCAGGCAGAUUUCCUGAGCCUCCCAGUCACUGCAGGGAAGGACCACACGGAGGAGCCACUCUGCAGCGCCAGAGCCACACUGGAGCUCCACAACCAGUCCUCAGAGUCAGCCGGGAGCAGGUCAGGCCCAGACUCUGUUGAGAAUGCUUGUGAGGACAUUAGCCGCUUACAGGAGGCUCCCACAGAGGACUGCCCAGAUGUGGCCACAGUAGAGGCCAUUGCUGACCACCCUAAAGUGGUACCCUCUAGUGAGUCAGUGAUAGAGCCAUUGAUCCUACCAGGCUGUGACCGAAUACCUCCUGUGUUGAUUUCUGAGGGUCAGUAUUCACAGACUCAAAGGAAAGAACUUCAUUUGCCACUUCAGGAUGCUUUUGAGGCGUUGCCCACGGACCAACCUGAGAACAAUGAAUUAAAUGUGCUGCAGCAGCCUGAUCUAACAGACAGUGAUGGAAAAUCAACUUCAUUUGCCACUUCAGGAUGCUUUUGA